rfam:Triticum aestivum genome assembly, contig: Triticum_aestivum_CS42_TGACv1_scaffold_621536_7DS
AAACUACUCCCUCCGUCCGGAAAUACUUGUCGAAGAAAUGCAUAAGAAUGAAUGUAUCUAGAACUAAAAUACAUCUAGAUACAUCCAUUCCCCCGACGAGUAUUUCCGGACGGAGGGAGUACGUG